rnacentral:rRNA from 1 species
UACGGAGGGUGCAAGCGUUAUCCGGAUUUAUUGGGUUUAAAGGGUCCGUAGGCGGAUUAAUAAGUCAGUGGUGAAAUCCCGCAGCUCAACUGUGGAACUGCCAUUGAUACUGUUGGUCUUGAGUGUAGUUGAAGUGGCUGGAAUGAGUAGUGUAGCGGUGAAAUGCAUAGAUAUUACUCAGAACACCAAUUGCGAAGGCAGGUCACUAAGUUACAACUGACGCUGAGGGACGAAAGCGUGGGGAGCGAACAGG